rfam:Hepacivirus hominis isolate P37_Baseline_Cameroon polyprotein (POLY) gene, complete cds; and protein F-like (POLY) gene, complete sequence
UAAGCUGAUAGCCCAAGGAGGGAAAGCCGCCAUAUGCGGCAAGUACCUCUUUAAUUGGGCUGUCAAAACC